GGAUAUCGGUGCGAUAUUUUGUAGCCGUUACAACCGGGACUAAAAGGGGUGGGGGGCUUUAGUCCUAGUUGGUCUUUGCAACCGAAACUAAAGCUCCUCCCGUCGAUGGCCUUCGAUAUCUCAUUUUUGACCCGGGACUAAAGCACCUAGAUGGACGGUCACUACUGAAACCUUCACCUGUGGUAGGGGUAGUAUACAUGAGUAGUAUAUGUAGUGUAAGGGUAUCAUGCUAAAAAGUACAAAUGGCGGCACUAUAAUUUUAGUUUUUAUACUAGCGUAAAGUUUAAAAGACCACUUCAUUUGAAAUAUCAUUUUUUACCAUGUAAUAAUUACUAAAAUAUUCAUAAUAAUGAACAAUUUGAUCUUAUAUAUAUUAUAUACUACUAAGUGGUAGUAUUGUGUACCGUAAAUGAAGUACACAUGUAUGAGUAGAUAUUGAAAAAACUAAAUGUAAUAUGUGCUAAUUAAAAAAUAAUCAGAACCUAAGUUUUUUGUCCCACUAGAUCUUGGAAAAAAACUAUCAUGCUUGUGUAAAUAUAGAAAAAAACCAAAUCUUCUUCUCUCUCCCCCCUGGAUCUAGGAAAUUCAUCAUUCAUGAAUGAGGCUAAAACAUCAAAGUUGCAUCUGAAUGAUUAGAUAAUCUUGUUCUCCUACCUAAAUAACCUAACUUCAUCCAAAAGUUUGAAGUAAAUUGAGCUCCAAAUGGCUAAUCCACACCUUGGAGAUCUAGAUCUACCUAGAGGUAAAGCAACUCUAUUUGAGCUUUAAACCUAUGCAAUAAGCUUAAAAAAACAUUGGGUUAGCAUCAAUUUACCUCCUACAACCUCCAACUCCAAUGAAAUCAAGUUGAAAAAACUCCCCCCCCACAUUUUCUUUUUUUAGAUUUUUGGACAGCACCUCUUGCAAUCGAACGGUGUUAUCGGCAGGAGGAAGAAGGUGGAUGGGUGCUUUUGUCAGCCAUUUCUAGGGGUGGCCCGCCCUGCAAAUGUGUCUCCAGGAGCGGGCUGAAAUCUACAGUCCCGCUCUUGUUUGUAGGAACGGGCCGCAUUUUGAGCCAGCCCUAGAAAAAAAUGGGGGGCGCCUAUAAAUCAUUUUUAUAGUGAUUGUAGUGCAGGGUCGUUGUCACAUCUUUCAAUUUUGCACAGACAUGAAUUUUUAGUUUAUUAGGAGUAUCUAAGGGUAGCUUGGUGGGUCUCUUAAAUUACGCAUUUGAGGAAAAAGAGAGCCCCUUCUUUACUAGAUUUGCACAAAGCUCCACGUGUACUGGCGAAUCUCUUGACCACAUAUUGAUUUGCUUCAAAU
rnacentral:lncRNA from 1 species